rnacentral:tmRNA from 1 species
GGGGACGUACUGGUUUCGACAGGGUCGUUGCACCUUAUCCAGCGGGUAGUGGAUGUCCGUUGGCCACUUAAAAAAUCGGGCACUUAAAGUAAUUGCUAAUAACGAUUACGCUUUAGCUGCUGCUUAAACCAGCAACUACGUAGCCCCGAGGAUCUGUAGUCGGAUCAGCUGCGCCAGUUUCAGACCUUGCCUGAGGGAGGUUAAUCAGGAAAACGCCUAAUCCUAAGCUUUGCGGACCAAGGUGUAUUUAUGAAGCUACCGGAGUGUCUGCCUGUCAGGCGGCGAAGAUACGAGGGGAAUACUCUGUAGACUGACUGCACCCGGAGAAGGAUUUGGGAAUAUGGUUUUGGACAGGAGUUCGAUUCUCCUCGUCUCCACCA